UAGUCAUAUGCUUGUCUCAAAGAUUAAGCCAUGCAUGUCUAAGUUUAAAGAGAUUGACUCUGAAACUGCGAAUGGCUCAUUAAAUCAGUUAUAAUUUAUUUGAUAGUGCCGUGACUACAUGGAUAACCGUAGGAAACUGGAGCUAAUACAUGCUAAAAAUCCUGUUAAAAAGGAUGCAUUUAUUAGAGAGGAAACCGACGAAGGGUGAACCAUGAUAACUCGGCGUAUCACGCGCAAGCGUGAAGAAUCAUUCAAAUUUCUGCCCUAUCAACUUGGAUGGUAGUAUAGAGGACUACCAUGGUCGUAACGGGUAACGGAGAAUUAGGGUUCGAUUCCGGAGAGGGAGCCUGAGAGAUGGCUACCACUUCUAAGGGAGGCAGCAGGCGCGCAAAUUACCCAAUCCUGAUACAGGGAGGUAGUGACAAGAAAUAACGGCACUCGGCCAAACGGUCGGGUGAUUGGAAUGAGAACAAUGUAGAAGCUUUAUCGAGUAACAAUU
rnacentral:rRNA from 1 species